rnacentral:rRNA from 1 species
CCCUGGGUUAGUCGGGACCUAAGCUGAGGCCGAAAGGCGUAGGUGAUGGACAACAGGUUGAUAUUCCUGUACUACCGAUAACCGGUUGAGAGAAGGGAUGACACAGUAGGAUAAGCUAAGCACACUGUUGGUUAUGUGUGCCCAAGCAUUGAGGCAAUCCAAGUAGGCAAAUCCGCCUUGAUCAUGAUGGGAUGUGAUGGGGAGCGAAAUUU